UGGAACAAUGUAGGCAAGGAAAGUCGGCAAAAUGGAUACGAAACUUCGUGAAAAGAAAUAUGCUCAGAGUGUUUGGCAUGGGGGUCCUAGUACCGAACCCAUUGGCUGUCGAUGAACUGCAUGAGCUGACCCCGCGGAAAUAGUGGGUCGCCGUGGGACGGACUGGGAACGGUUCCUUUCUUUGGGGCCUUCCCCGGGAGUCAAACAACCAACUCAUAACUGUUACAAACAAGGGGAAUUUGACUAUUUAUUUAAAAUAAAGCAUUGCGAUGGUCCCAACGGAUGUUUACCCACUAUGAUUUUUGUCUAGUGCUAUGAAUGUCAAAGUGAAGAAAUUCAACCAUGCGGGGGUAAACGUCGGAGUAACUAUGACUCUCUGAAGGUAGCCAAAUGCCUCGUCAUCUAAUUAGUGAUGCGUAUGAAUGUAUUAAUAAGAUUCCCACUGUCCCUGUCUAAUAUACAGCGAAACCACAGCCAAGGGAACAUGUUUGGCAGAAUCAGCGGGGAAAGAGGACCCUUUUGAGCUUGAAUCUAGUUCGACUUUAUGAAAUGACUUGAGAGGUGUAGUAUAAGUGGGAGUCGAAAGGCGAAAGUGAAAUACCACUACUUUUAACGUUAUUUUACUUAUUCCGUGAAUCGGAAGAGGGGAACUACCCUCUUUUUGGACCCAAGACUCACUUUGCGGGUCAAUCCGGGGGGAAGACAUUGUCAAGUGGGGAGUUUGGCUGGGGUGGUACAUCUGUUAUAAGAUAACGCAGGUGUCCUAAGAUGAGCUCAACGAAAAUAGAAAAAUCGUGUGGAUCAGAAAGACAAAAGAUCGUUUGAUUCUGAUUUCUAGUACGAAUAGGAACGGUAAAUGCGUGGCCUAACGAUCUUUUAGACCUUCAGAGUUCUAAGCUGGAGGUGUGAGAAAAGUUACCACAAGGAUAACUAGCUUGUGGUAGCCAAGCUAUAUAGCGAAAUUUAUUUUUGAUCCUUCGAUGUCGGCUCUUCUUAUCAUUGUGAAGCAAAAUUCACCAAAGUGUUGGAUUGUUCACCCACAAAUAGGGAACGUGAGCUGGGUUUAGACCAUCGUGAGAGAGGUUAGUUUUACCCCUACUGAUGACAGUGUCGCAAUAGUAAAUUAAACCUAGUAAGAGAGGAACCGUUAAUUCGCAUAAUUUGUCAUCCCGCUUGGUUGAAAAGCUGGUGGCACGAAGCUACCGUGUGAUGGAUUAUGACUAAACGCCUCUAAGGCUUAAUCCAGGCAAGAAGCGACGCAUGCGCCCGCCGUCAGCUUGCCGACCCACAGUAGGGGCCUUUAGCCCCCAAGUGAACGUUUUGUUGGCUAAGUCACCGCGAUGGAAGCGUCGCGGUGACUUCCUUGAAGUACAAUUUCCAUCGAGCGGUGGGUAGUAUCCUCAGCAGAAGACAUAAAAUACACGACGGGGUAUUGUAAGUGGAAGAGUAGCCUUGCUGCCACGAUCCACUGAGAUACAACCGUUUGUCACUUCGAUUC
rnacentral:ncRNA from 1 species